rnacentral:rRNA from 1 species
AUUGAACGCUGGCGGCAUGCCUUACACAUGCAAGUCGAACGGUAACAGGCCGCAAGGUGCUGACGAGUGGCGUACGGGUGAGUAAUGCAUCGGAACGUGCCCAGUCGUGGGGGAUAACUGCUCGAAAGAGCAGCUAAUACCGCAUACGAUCUAUGGAUGAAAGCGGGGGACCGUAAGGCCUCGCGCGAUUGGAGCGGCCGAUGUCAGAUUAGGUAGUUGGUGGGGUAAAGGCUCACCAAGCCAACGAUCUGUAGCUGGUCUGAGAGGACGACCAGCCACACUGGGACUGAGACACGGCCCAGACUCCUACGGGAGGCAGCAGUGGGGAAUUUUGGACAAUGGGGGCAACCCUGAUCCAGCAAUGCCGCGUGCAGGAAGAAGGCCUUCGGGUUGUAAACUGCUUUUGUACGGAACGAAACGGUCUGGGUUAAUACCCUGGGCUAAUGACGGUACCGUAAGAAUAAGCACCGGCUAACUACGUGCCAGCCGCCGCGGUAAGAC